rnacentral:rRNA from 1 species
UACGGAGGGUGCAAGCGUUAAUCGGAAUUACUGGGCGUAAAGCGCGCGUAGGCGGUUUGUUAAGUCAGAUGUGAAAGCCCAGGGCUCAACCUUGGAACUGCAUCUGAUACUGGCAGGCUAGAGUACAGGAGAGGGAAGUGGAAUUUCAGGUGUAGCGGUGAAAUGCGUAGAGAUCUGAAGGAACACCAGUGGCGAAGGCGAUUCCUGGACUGAUACUGACGCUGAGGGUGCGAAAAAGCGUGGGGGGGGAGCAAAAACAGGGAUUUAGAUCCCCCCGGGGGAGUCCCAA